rnacentral:tRNA from 1 species
UCGGGGAUCGUCUAACGGCAGGACACCAGAUUCUGGUUCUGGUUAUCUAGGUUCGAAUCCUAGUCCCCGAG